AGACUGAUGAGUUGCGAACGGGUGAGUAACGCGUAGGUAACCUGCCUCAUAGCGGGGGAUAACUAUUGGAAACGAUAGCUAAUACCGCAUAAGAGUAAUUAACACAUGUUAGUUAUUUAAAAGGAGCAAUUGCUUCACUGUGAGAUGGACCUGCGUUGUAUUAGCUAGUUGGUGAGGUAAAGGCUCACCAAGGCGACGAUACAUAGCCGACCUGAGAGGGUGAUCGGCCACACUGGGACUGAGACACGGCCCAGACUCCUACGGGAGGCAGCAGUAGGGAAUCUUCGGCAAUGGACGGAAGUCUGACCGAGCAACGCCGCGUGAGUGAAGAAGGUUUUCGGAUCGUAAAGCUCUGUUGUUAGAGAAGAACGUUGGUAGGAGUGGAAAAUCUACCAAGUGACGGUAACUAACCAGAAAAGGGACGGCUAACUACGUGCCAGCAGCCGCGGUAAAU
rnacentral:rRNA from 1 species